rnacentral:rRNA from 1 species
GUAGUCCACGCCGUAAACGAUGAGUGAUAAGUUAGCCACCUGGGGAGUACGUUCGCAAGAAUGAAACUCAAAGGAAUUGACGGGGGCCCGCACAAGCGGUGGAUUAUGUGGUUUAAUUCGAUGAUACGCGAGGAACCUUACCAAGGCUUAAAUGGGAAUUGACAGGUUUAGAAAUAGACUUUUCUUCGGACAAUUUUCAAGGUGCUGCAUGGUUGUCGUCAGCUCGUGCCGUGAGGUGUUAGGUUAAGUCCUGCAACGAGCGCAACCCCUGUCACUAGUUGCCAUCAUUCAGUUGGGGACUCUAGUGAGACUGCCUACGCAAGUAGAGA